CUCGUUGGUUGAUGUAAAUCUGGAGUGCAGAAUUUUGUUGAUAAUUUUGCAUCGAAAUCGACUGUAGUUUAGUUUUGCCAGACAUAUGACUCUAGAUAGUCGAAGUCUUCACAAGAGAGAGUAAGCCUCUGAAUAUGCUGUUUCAAACAAGCGUUUGAACAACAUAGGAGGAUACAUCCCCUCUCGCAAGAAGAAGAAGAAGAAGAAGACUGUAGUUUAGUGUAAAUGUUGCUAAUAUUAAUGGGUAAGGACCGUAGGUUUGGCGUGCAACGCAUAUAAUCGUCGUUCAAAGAGGCUGCACGCCCGCAGCAGUGCGAAAAUGUGACCAGGCAAAACAUCCGGCGUCGGAUAAACAAAAUGAGCUGCUGUAUGUAGGAGAUGUAGGAGGAAAAAAAUGUAGGAGAUGAUUUGCAAGAGGGCAGACAACUAUACAUCGGCAUCGAUAAAGGUGUAGCAACAUAAAACGGCAUUGCGACACUACCGUAGAAUGUUUUUUGGAAUGACGAUCUGGGAUGGUUAACUGUGGGCAUCAGAGCUCGCAUGUUCCCAAACCCUCAUGCACUGAUAUGCACAUCAAGGGAAAGCAGCUAGUUAACGAUCAAGUAACGAUCAGGUAAGAGCCAUGGCAAAUAUGUUGUGUAAGUACUAUGCUACGUGUUCCGUGAGGAGUAAAAUGUCUUGCUGGCCUGCAGAAAGAUGAUCUGGAAAAUGCUUCUAUCGCAAGAAGUUCAAAGCAUUUUUUAUACAUGCGGUAAAAGUAAGGCUCAGCCCUCUACGUUA